rnacentral:tRNA from 1 species
AAGGAAUUAGUUAAUAUAAUAACCUUUGUUUGUCAGACAAAAAUUAUCUUUUUUAGAUAUUCCUUA